rnacentral:rRNA from 1 species
AGAGUUUGAUCCUGGCUCAGGAUGAACGCUGGCGGCGUGCCUAAUACAUGCAAGUCGAGCGAGCCCCUUCGGGGCUAGCGGCGGACGGGUGAGUAACACGUGGGUAACCUGCCUAUAAGACUGGGAUAACUUCGGGAAACCGGAGCUAAUACCGGAUGACACUUUGGAACUCCUGUUCCUUAGUUGAAAGAUGGCUUCGG